GGAAUCCAGAAACACUAUGGCCUUCAUAUCUCCUAUACUUGUCAAGUCCAAAUGGAGGCUUGGUAGAGAAAAUUGCUAUGUAGUUUCCAUUCGACUGUGCUAUGAAUUUGGGAUCAGAAGGGUGGCAUCUUAUCGAGGGACAUGUAUAUGCUUCACAGUAAACCUGGUUAGAUAGAGGGAUUUCUCGUGAUACAUCCCAAACCAUAAUUGAAUUUUCACUAA
rnacentral:misc_RNA from 1 species